CGAAGUCACAGUCGCGGAGGGGUCCCAACUCGUGAAACCCUAGUAGAGUUUGAAGGCAUCCUCACUCUGCGAAGAACCCUAGCAGCAUCCCACUCACGAAGGUGCGGUUUUCCUGACUCGCGAUCGCGAAGAACCCUAGCGGCAUUCUUCAUAGGUCUCAAUUUGGCGUGAUCUCAGUGUAGUUGAAGACAACUGUAUUUGUUCACCUCUUUUCGUUAAAAUGCAGAAUGAGCGAAGUUGGAUGUAUAACAAGAAUUCAGGUAUAAUGCAGAAUGAGGAAGAGGAGGCGGAGGAGGAGGAUGAUGAUAAUCACAAUGAUGACUUUGAUUUUUGAUGAUGGGGUUGGUAAGGCGAACUAAAGGUCCGAGAAAAAAAGCAAAGGAGAUUUGAGGGGGUGCAAAGCUUUUGUGGCAGACGAAGAUGACUUGAUGUAUUCUUAGUUUAUUUACCUCCUUGGAUGGAUGAUGGAUUUAUAUAACAUUUGAUUGUUGAACUUUAUAAUAUUUUCUAGAAGCUUGAACAAGAUAGAUCUUGUAAAAUUUGUUGAGAUCUUUAUGUUUGUUGAAUUAUGAGUUGAUUGAGUUCAAUUAUUACUCCUGUAUGUGAAA